UCAUUGACUUUAUUUAUCUUCAAAUAUUUACUUGGACCUCUAAAUAUUAACCAUUGCAUCCCUAACUACUAAUCAACAGAAAAGAUGAGUUGAGGCCCUUAAUUCGUAAUAUCUGUGCUUAUUUUAGGUGUUAAAAUUGCAUUUUUUUCCAGGGAGAAUAAAACACAGAUAGUGCAAUUUCUUCGUGAUGCAUGGUCUAAGGAUCGAAGAGCUGAAUGGUCGAUAUGGAUGGUUUACUCUAAGGUUGAAAUGCCUCAUCAUUAUAUAAAUGGUGGUUUUGAUGAGCCUUCCCACCAUAUUGUGCAUAAGAGGGGUCCAAGUUUGCUGAAGUUAACUGAUGAAGUAAAUACUCCUUUUUUGUUUUUGUUGUAUUGGCUUACAUAUUCAGUUAUGAGAGACAAUAGUUCUUUCACUUAGUUUCUAAUUUGGAAAAUUGAUAUUGUGCAUGCAGCCUGCAGAGUUAGCAACCAUGCGAGCUGAGCUUCAUCGACGAAGUAUUGCACAAAUGAGGGUAUUCUUGUGUUUAUGGUUCUUAUCGUAUUUAUUGCUGUUUACCUUAGUUUACCAGCAAAAUUGCUUGCACACAGAUUAACAAUCGAUCGAUCCAAGACAUGCAAAUAUUUGGAGAUCCUUCAGGAGUUCCUAUUGUAAUUAUGGAACGUGUAAUAAAUGCACCUCGUCGUACUGUUAGUGAUAUAUCAUUCUUGAAGAAUUUUGACGUCAUGCAUUUAGCUACCUCAAGCACUGUUCUUGAAGCUGGGAAGAGCCAAUCUAGUACAAGUGCUGCACAGAGUGGGCAAGACUUGAAGAUCGUUGUCUUUGUGCAUGGUUUUCAGGCAAGUUUUGGUCUCCCACACUUGUUUCUUUGGUUGUAGUUUUGUUUCGUUAAUUUGAUACUAUCUAUUCCGAUGAUUUAUUUGACCUGGAGUAUGUUUUAAUGAGCACCUGAAGUAAUUUUUAUGCACAUGCAGUUUCUUUCAUCUAAUCCUGACUUGAAUAUAUAGGGGCAUCAUCUGGAUCUGCGACUUGUUAGGAACCAAUGGCUUUUGAUAGAUUCCAAGAUACAUUUCCUAAUGUCAGAGGCAAAUGAAGAGAAAACAUCUGGAGACUUCAGAGAUAUGGGACUAAGGCUGGCACAUGAAGUGAUUGCAUAUGUCAAAAAGAAAAUGGACAAAGCUUCAAGAUCUGGUGACUUACGAAAUAUCAAACUUAGUUUUG
rnacentral:lncRNA from 1 species